GAUGCCCCCAGCUCUACCCUAGGGCAGGGCCCUGGGGGUCCAGACUGCCCCUGGGUGCUGGGCUGAAGGGGCCCGGGUUCUGCUGGAGGGCAGGGCUCAGGUACCUCAAGCUGUUCCUGGCGAGAGGACUCCGGUAUCUCAGGCUCACUCCUACAGCAGGACUCUAGGGGCCUGGGUUCUGCUGGAGGGUAGGGCUCUGG
rnacentral:lncRNA from 1 species